AAUGAAUUGCCUGAUAAAAGGGUUACCUUGAUAGGGUAAAUUAUGUAAAAAGCUUACAUUCAUUA
rnacentral:tRNA from 2 species